GUGGGGGUGGAGCUUAGACAGAAUGCUAACAAUCAGCAACCAAGAAAAUAUUCUACAUAAGCCGAGCCACAGACCAAUCUGAUGGGGCCAAUCCCUUAGCUGAGAUUCUCUCUCCCAGGCUGGUGUUGCGUGCGUUGACCUAUACUAGCCUACAGAGGUACUGCCAAAACGUUGCCAUUUCCUCGUCUUCACGGGCGGCUGGGUUGCCCAUCUGCUUUUCCCACCAUGGAUGGAACGGACACAAAUGUCUCACCCACAGUCAACAAAACCAACAAGAUAUCCUCGAACAUCACAGUACACGUCUUCUUUGGCUUGGCUGUGUCUUAGAUAUCAGAAUACAUUGUGGCCUUCAUUAUUUAUCUCACUCCUGUGGCAAAAAUGCUCUACCAAGAACAACUGAAGAGAAGAGGGCUCAGCUCGCCUUCUCCGGUUUACUCAGUCAGGAUCCCAGCCCAUAGUGCUGCCCACACUGCUUCCUAAAAUGUUGUUAAAGGACUGGAGAGAUGACUCAUGGGUAAAGGGGACUGGCUGCUCCUGCAGAGGACCGAGGUUCCAUUCCCAACAUCCAUGCAGCAGCUCACAACCAUCUGUAACUCCUAGUUCCCGGGGAUCCGACGCCCUCUUCUGGCCUCCACAG